CGGAGGGUGCAAGCGUUAUCCGGAAUCAUUGGGUUUAAAGGGUCCGCAGGCGGAUUUAUAAGUCAGUGGUGAAAGCCUGAUGCUUAACAUCAGAACUGCCAUUGAUACUGUAAGUCUUGAAUUCGAUCGAAGUGGGCGGAAUAUGACAUGUAGCGGUGAAAUGCUUAGAUAUGUCAUAGAACACCGAUAGCGAAGGCAGCUCACUAGGUCUGGAUUGACGCUCAGGGACGAAAGCGUGGGGAGCAAACAGGAUUAGAUACCCUGGUAGUCCACGCCGUAAACUAUCAAUACUCGUUUUCGGGGACUUCGGUCUUCGGAGACUAAGCGAAAGUGAUAAGUAUUGCACCUGGGGAGUACGAUCGCAAGGUUG
rnacentral:rRNA from 1 species